CGGAGCGUAGUUCAACGGUAGAAUGCUUGGUUCGGGACCAAGAGGUAGUGGGUUCAACUCCCGCCGCUCCGACUA
rnacentral:tRNA from 1 species